CUUGCACAUCAAAAUAUCUCUAUUAACAUGUGCCCAAAAAUGCACUGAUGGCAAGACAAAUUGACAUCACUUAUCCCCAUAUUCACCAAUGUGAGUUAAAUAGAGAGUUGAUGAACUCGAAGUCAGAUUAUGAGUUACUCUUCUUUCAUAUUCAGAUAAAAAUAUAACUCUAGAGUUAAUGUUUUAAAACAGUCCUGCAUUUGAGAUCAAAUAAGUCUUCUUUCAUAAGCAGUGUCUUGAUUGGUUGAAAGCAAACACAUGUAGAAAAUGGAGGAAAGUCAAAUGGAGAAUAGUGCAUGCCAUAAUUUCACAAUUUCAAAAAAGAAGUACUGCUCAAAUUAGUCAAAAAAUACAAAUAUAUAACAGAAGAUAAAAAAACAAAUGCAGUUUCUUCCAAACAGAAGAGAGAUACCUGGGAAGUAUUAACCAAAGAAUACAAUGGUAUCCUAGAUGUUACACUCAGAAAAAGCAAGCAGCUAUGGGACAGUUAUAAAAACUUUCAAAAAAUGCCAUAAAAAAACAGUUGCAGAAAAAAAAUAAAUUAUUUAAAAAGAGGAGGAGGCAGAGGGUUUCCUUCUCCUGUUUUUAAAUAAUUUAGUUUUUUUCUAAAUUUUUAAAUAAUUCGGAUGUGAUGGCUGAAAAACUGCUUUCAAUGGGUAUCCUAACUCAGCCUUUAGAAAACGACUUUGAUAGUGAUGCCCAACUAAAACAACAGAGAUAGCUACAGCUUCUGUAGUAAGGGCUCAAGAUAUAUCUGAUGUAUCUGCAUCUGAAGUUUCAGCUAUACCACAAAUUACUAAUGUAAUGUUUGUGGAUGUCAUUGAACCCUCUGUAGAUUUUUAUAUUGAAGAAUUUCAAAAUAUUGAUAAUCAUCAAUUAAAUCUUAAAAAUAAUUAAUUCCAUAAAAAUACUGUUUCAACUUAUAAUGAAAUAAUCACCUUUUUUUAUUUAUUUGUUGAAACUGUGUCGUCUUCUUGUUUUUCUUGUGUCAAUAAAUUCACCAAGUUGUGACAUUGAAUCAAAGAAAUAAUCACCUUUCAAUCAUAGUUCCACUAAUGGCAAAAAUUAUCAAACUAAGAAGAAAAGAAAACAAACUGAAGCCAUCUAUGAACAGGCGAAAAUGAGAAAGGAAACUCUUGAAAAAGGGCAUAAAUUAAAAAUCAAAUUUAUGACUAAGGAGCAUAAUAUGAAAAUGCUAUUGAUGAAAAAAACAGAAGUGCAGGAAAAGAUUUUACAAAUUUUAGAAAAUAAUCCAUCUGAUUUAAGACUUCAACUAACAAAUUUGUAAUCUACUUUUCUGCAAAAUUAUAUAUAUAUUAGUGUAAAAAGUGUUUUUAUUUUCUAAUAUAAAAUUUUUU